GCCUCUGCUCAUGUGGGGAAGACGUGGGACGGACCAAACCCGAGUGGGAGAGAGAAUAAAAGCUACGGACAAAAGCAGAAAGUGCAAGGCAUUUAUUAACACAUCCUUCAAAUUACAAUACAGUUCAAAACACAUUUCUUGGCAUGGAAUCACAUAGAUGACACACACAGAAUACAUUUUUCCAACUAUGUCACAACUGCUCUUCACACAUAUUCCUGAUAAAGCUGUCACAGUGAUUAGUGCAAAGUGGAAAACGGGGUAAAACUAGGCAACAUCCCUGCCCGCAAACGUGAGAGUGGUGGGCUGGGUGGAGACACGGAGCAGAUCACCCAGAAGAAAGCAACUCGCUCAGCUCUUGAUUCCUCAAUCCUAGUGUGCGCCCCACAAACACAGCUGCAGACGCCACGCCGAGCCGCCCAGGCCAGCUCGCGGCACUUAGCAAUACGCUUAGGAAGGUCACAGCCAGCCAGAGCGGCGACAGAGCCCGAUGGGCCGUCACCUCCCAGCAGAGGAAGAGGCGCGCUACCACUAACACUGACGCACGCAAGAGAGGCCCUGCAAAAGGAGAGGGAGGGACAGAGGGCUGGUUAGUGCCCUGGGCGCGGGCCGGCCUCCGUGGGCGCCGCCCCUGGGGAGACUGCGAACAACAGGACCCAGACGCGACUCUGCCAGCCGGAGACCUGGGGGAACAAACCCGGAGUCAAACCUGUCAAAGCAAAGGGUGAGACGACGCAGCACAGGGGACUCGCGGCAGCAGAGUAGAAUCCUCAACGCCAACACGGGAUAGAGCAGCCAGGACAGAGUCACCGGAGGCGGCGGCGGGAGGAAAGAACGGUCAGCCGGCAACACAAUGAGAGAAGGGCAUGCUUGUGGGGACAGUGGGGGUGGGCUUGGCAGGGAACCCCGAGGAGAGGAAGGGGUGUGUGGGAGACCUGGCUGACGGGGCCCAGACUCUCAGCAGCAGGAGUGAGACCAGACAGGGAGCCCAGCAAAGAGAACCAGCUCAAAAAUGAAAAGGAAAAAAAAACAAAUCAGAUUUCAGGCUGCGUUGCUGGUGAACCUGAAAAUUAAACAGCAGAAUUAAAGCCUUAGAGUUAAAAUCCUCACAGAGGAAAAAACAAUUCUGGAUCCCACACCUGUGAAAAGCAAAGCCGAGUUAUCAAAACAAGUGGUUAUUUGCUCUUCGGUCAAUAGUUAUAAAUGUGUGUCAUAUAAAUGUUGCUUUAAAAACAUAAAUUAUAUACCCUGAGACAACACUGCAGAGAGCACAGAACUUAAACGGUCCUUUAAAAAUCAGGUUCCAUUACGUGCCCUUAAAAUGAAAAAUAGUUUAAAAGAAAAUCAUGCUAGAAGAAUGUCAAAAGGUCUACUUUCUAGAAUAUAUUAAAUUACUAAAUACAAAAUAUAUUAAAACAGUACAUCUGUUUGUCCACUCUGCAGAAAGUGUUAAAAUUCAAAGACUACAAUCAUGUUUCUUUUUAAAGGCCUGUACUUUUCUACAUACCUUUCAAAAUUAGUAAAAUAAAGCACCAACAUGAAGGCCUUUUUACAUUUUAGUUGGUUAGAAAUGAAAGCAAGAAGCAACUUCUCACUAAAAAUGCCUCUUCUGCCUCCUCAUCUUAAUUAAAAGACUUGCUACCAAAAUACAGCACAGAAAAGAGAGUUAAGAUUUUCUGCACAUUUCCUAAAAAGACCAGGUUUUUUACACAUGUAAAACCAAAGACCCUUCCCCAUCAAACACUACCAGCAGGUAUACCGGGGAUCCAAUAUGAAUCAGGGAGUUGCUUGGUUCCAGGACACAGAACCAUGGGCCCUUUAAAUGAGGAAAAUUAAACAGGUUGCAAAAAAACCUUACACAAAAUCCUUAGGAUUUAAUAGUAAGUCAAGGCUCACUGCCUUUGCAGAGUUCAUAUUUACUGAUGUCCAAAACAACACAUCAUUCACAUGAUUUAAAAAGAGGUGAAAAGGCUAAGUUAACUGCUCAUUAAGCACAGUAGAACAUCUACAGUCUCCCUGUAAUGGAUGUGAUUCCUAUGGCUUCCUCCAAGGGGACAGGGGUGUCUCCUGGUCCCAUUUCGUAUCGUCCACCCCUUUGGUUAGUUAAUUCCCUUUCAGAAUACCGCCACUUAGAAAAAUCUGUAAAAAAAAUCAAUCAUGCCUUUCAAGCACCCCACACCCCCUCAGAAACAAAGGAGCUGGGCUGGGGUGGGGGGCCGGGACGGGAUGCAGGUGGGAGCAUGGUCUGUUUGACCACGGGCGGGUAGAAGCAGGGCUCCCGGUGGGGUGCAGCCGGGGGGCACGCUGCCACUCCAGGGACUAGGGGCAAGAAGCUAGGGGGCUCAAGGGCUCCACACCCCAUGUGUGGCUCUAGGCGCUCUGCACACAGAACUCAACCAAAACCUGACUGUCCUCAUCAGGGUCCCUGGCAGUCAAUGGUCCAUAAGCACACUGAGCUUACCUUCAAUUUAACAACAGAGAAAUUAAAAGAUAAAAAGCAAAAAACAAACAACAAAAACUACAAAAGAUUUAAAAAAAAAAAAAAAAAAGGAAGGAAGUGACAGGUUCUCGGAACAGCCUGGCCCUAAGUCUCAUCUACCAGCCAGCCAGCCGGGCCUCCUCUCGUCCGCCAGCUUGGCGGUCCACUUCGUGCAGAGUGCGCGGCCCUGGCGUGGCCGCCCCAGCUGACUCCUCCUCGGCACGGGCUCAGGACCGGGCUCCCAGCCAGCUCUGCAUGCUCUAACUCCCUGCGCUCCGCCCUGUCCUCUUCACCCAGCUCGCCUCCCCAGCCUCCCUCCAGCAACAGCUCUGCUUGCGUCAUUAGCAAAACGCCCUUUAAAAAAAAGACCCCUGAGUGCAGGAUCCAAAGCUCUGCCACAAUUCAGAAACUCUACCGAACUGAGCACAAACAAUUGUUCAUCCAGGACCUUUUACAAAUCAUGAGAAGACCCCAGUCAGAAACAGUUACGAUGAAGC
ensembl:lncRNA